rnacentral:rRNA from 1 species
CUGAAUAACUUUGCUAAUCGCACAGUCCUUGUACUGGCGAUGUAUCUUUCAAAUGUCUGCCCUAUCAACUGUUGAUGGUAGAUUAUGCGCCUACCAUGGUUGUAACGGGUAACGGAGAAUCAGGGUUUGAUUCCGGAGAGGGAGCCUGAGAAACAGCUACCACAUCCAAGGAAGGCAGCAGGCACGCAAAUUACCCACUCCCAGUGCGGGGAGGUAGUGACGAAAAAUAACGAGACGUUGCUCUAUGAGUAUCGUCAUCGGAAUGAGUACAAUCUAAAUACUUUAACGAGUAUCUAUUGGAGGGCAAGUCUGGUGCCAGCAGCCGCGGUAAUUCCAGCUCCAAUAGCAUAUGCUAAAGUUGUUGCGGUUAAAAAG